GACGAACGCUGGCGGCGUGCUUAACACAUGCAAGUCGAACGGAAAGGCCCUGCUUUUGUGGGGUGCUCGAGUGGCGAACGGGUGAGUAACACGUGAGUAACCUGCCCUUGACUUUGGGAUAACUUCAGGAAACUGGGGCUAAUACCGGAUAGGAGCUCCUGCUGCAUGGUGGGGGUUGGAAAGUUUCGGCGGUUGGGGCUGGACUCGCGGCUUAUCAGCUUGUUGGUGGGGUAGUGGCUUACCAAGGCUUUGACGGGUAGCCGGCCUGAGAGGGUGACCGGCCACCUUGGGCCUGCGAUACGGCCCAGACUCCUACGGUACGCAGCAGUCGGGAAUAUUGCACAGUGGGCGGAAGCCUGAUGCAGCAACGCCGCGUGCGGGAUGACGGCCUUCUGGUUGUAAACCGCUUUCGCCUGUGACGAAGCGUGAGUGACGGUAAUGGGUAAAGAAGCACCGGCUAACUACGUG
rnacentral:rRNA from 1 species